CAAAACGCUGGCAGCGUGCCUAACACAUGCAAGUCGAACGAGAAAGUCGGUUUCGGCCGAUGAGUAAAGUGGCGCACGGGUGAGUAACGCGUGGAUAAUCUACCCUUUAGUCCGGAAUAACUUGCCGAAAGGUGAACUAAUACCGGAUGACAUCCCGGGUUCUCCGGAAACCGGGAUCAAAGAAGGCCUCUGCUUGCAAGCUUUUGCUGAAGGAUGAGUCCGCGUACCAUUAGCUAGUUGGUGGGGUAAUGGCCUACCAAGGUUAUGAUGGUUAGCUGGUCUGAGAGGAUGAUCAGCCACACUGGAACUGAAACACGGUCCAGACUCCUACGGGAGGCAGCAGUGAGGAAUAUUGCGCAAUGGGGGCAACCCUGACGCAGCAACGCCGCGUGAGUGAGGAAGGUUUUCGGAUUGUAAAGCUCUGUCGAGCGGAAAGAAAUGCACGAUGGCUAAUAUCCAUCAUGCUUGACGGUACCGCUAGAGGAAGCACCGGCUAACUCCGUG
rnacentral:rRNA from 1 species